GAUGAACGCUAGCGGGAGGCCUAACACAUGCAAGCCGAGCGGUAUUGUUUCUUCGGAAAUGAGAGAGCGGCGUACGGGUGCGUAACACGUGUGCAACCUGCCUUUAUCUGGGGGAUAGCCUUUCGAAAGGAAGAUUAAUACUCCAUAAUAUAUUGAACGGCAUCGUUUAAUAUUGAAAGCUCCGGCGGAUAGAGAUGGGCACGCGCAAGAUUGGCUAGUUGGUGAGGUAACGGCUCACCAAGGCGAUGAUCUUUAGGGGGCCUGAGAGGGUGAUCCCCCACACUGGUACUGAGACACGGACCAGACUCCUACGGGAGGCAGCAGUGAGGAAUAUUGGUCAAUGGGUGCAAGCCCGAACCAGCCAUCCCGCGUGAAGGACGACUGCCCUAUGGGUUGUAAACUUCUUUUGUAUAGGGAUAAACCUACCCUCGUGAGGGUAGCUGAAGGUACUAUACGAAUAAGCACCGGCUAACUCCGUGCCAGCCGCCGCGGUAA
rnacentral:rRNA from 1 species